GUCGAGCGAAGUCUUCGGACUUAGCGGCGGACGGGUGAGUAACGCGUGGGAACAUACCCUUUGGUACGGAAUAGCCUCGGGAAACUUGGGCUAAUACCGUAUACGCACUAUGGUGGAAAGAAUUUCGCCGUGGGAGGGGCCCGCGUAGGAUUAGCUAGUUGGUGGGGUAAUGGCCCACCAAGGCUUCGAUCCUUAGCUGGUCUGAGAGGAUGAUCAGCCACACUGGGACUGAGACACGGCCCAGACUCC
rnacentral:rRNA from 1 species